GUACACCAAUUUGUAAGUGGUGAUAUAUUUGUAGCACAAAAGUUCCUUCAAAGGUACCUUUUAAAUUCACUUGCAAAACUAACAGUAACAAAAUCUUCCCAUAAGGGCCAUUUUUGACAUCUAAAGGGAUAAUAGAUUUAAGAUGUCUUCACCAAAAAUUUGGAGGCAAGUGUCUUGGGCUUAGAAUUUUUGUCAAUAACUUAGCACCACGCAUACCUUAACAUCGUCAAAUUCCUACCCUUCAUAAAAAUACGUUAGGUCAACCUAUUUCAACUCACGUAACCUUUCCUGUCGAAUGUAGUUCUAUCAUCAAUCGAACUUCAACAUAAAACCAAGAGACCUAGUACAAAGGUGACAAUAUAUGGUUGAGAGGUACUACAAUAAGAAAAUGGGAAUUCUCAUAUAUCAAUUCCAAGAAUUUAAGGGAACAUUAGGUAAUUUAGGUUUAGCCUUGAGUCAAACACCAUGUAAAAACAUUGUUUUUACGAAUUUCUGAAGUAAUGACCUCAUGAUUAUUACAAAGAGAAAGUGUGUCCAUAGAGACAAGGUUGAUAAAAUGGAUGUAUGUUCAUAUAAAUAUGGAUAGGAAAACAAAUGAGAAUGUGUACUAAUGCUGAUAGAUGAAAAGUUAAGGGAAUGAUGAGUUAAAUGGUUG
rnacentral:lncRNA from 1 species